GUCUAUGGCCAUGCUACCCUGAAUAAGCCCGAUCCCAUCUGAUCUUGGAAGCUAAGCAGGGCUGGAACUGGUUUGUACUUGGAUGGGAGACCACCUAGGAAGACCAGGUGCUGUAAGCA
rnacentral:rRNA from 1 species